rnacentral:rRNA from 1 species
CGAGCGAAUGGAUUAAGAGCUUGCUCUUAUGAAGUUAGCGGCGGACGGGUGAGUAACACGUGGGUAACCUGCCCAUAAGACUGGGAUAACUCCGGGAAACCGGGGCUAAUACCGGAUAACAUUUUGAACUGCAUGGUUCGAAAUUGAAAGGCGGCUUCGGCUGUCACUUAUGGAUGGACCCGCGUCGCAUUAGCUAGUUGGUGAGGUAACGGCUCACCAAGGCAACGAUGCGUAGCCGACCUGAGAGGGUGAUCGGCCACACUGGGACUGAGACACGGCCCAGACUCCUACGGGAGGCAGCAGUAGGGAAUCUUCCGCAAUGGACGAAAGUCUGACGGAGCAACGCCGCGUGAGUGAUGAAGGCUUUCGGGUCGUAAAACUCUGUUGUUAGGGAAGAACAAGUGCUAGUUGAAUAAGCUGGCACCUUGACGGUACCUAACCAGAAAGCCACGGCUAACUACGUGCCAGCAGCCGCGGUAAUACGUAGGUGGCAAGCGUUAUCCGGAAUUAUUGGGCGUAAAGCGCGCGCAGGUGGUUUCUUAAGUCUGAUGU